rnacentral:rRNA from 1 species
UGGCGGACGGGUGAGUAAUGUCUGGGAAACUGCCCGAUGGAGGGGGAUAACUACUGGAAACGGUAGCUAAUACCGCAUAAUGUCUGCGGACCAAAGCGGGGGACCUCCGGGCCUCGCGCCAUCAGAUGAACCCAUAUGGGAUUAGCUUGUAGGUAAGGUAACGGCUUACCUAGGCGACGAUCCCUAGCUGGUCUGAGAGGAUGACCAGCCACACUGGGACUGAGACACGGCCCAG